rnacentral:lncRNA from 1 species
AUUCCAUCUAGUUAGCACACUUGCCUGCCCCUGCUGUAGUGGGGUCCCCCCCCCCCAGCACUAAAAUUAUGCAUCCGCUUCACUUGCCAAAGCAAUGGACCCUUCUGUCAGUAAUAGGUUCCAUGAUCAUUUAGAGUGUGGUAGAAGGGGUAAACAGCUAAAGUGCUACAGCUGUUCUUAGAAGAGCCUCUGGCUAAAUUAACAAUUUGUGUUGCAAAAAUGUUUAUAAUUUAAUUUCUUUAAAACAGGUUUAGGUCACCUUAAAAGAUGGAAACCCUCUCAAAGUGAUAAAAACAAGGUAAAAUCAAAUACAAGGUAAAAUCAAAUACAGUACAGUCACAGUCUGAAAAUACAUAAUAAAGGCCAGCAGUAGUUAAAAAACAACAACAAUACCCAUCUGACCCAAAAUUACACAUAUUGAACCAGCUACUGAACCAUGAAACAGCCAAAGGAAAUAUCUCAUGUAAAAGCCAGGUCUUUAAUGUGCUCCAAAAAGCCUGUAACAAUUAAGUCUUCCCAGUGGCGAUGUAUACCAGCAGUGCGGGGCCACUGCAGAAGAGGCUCUCUCCUAGGAAGGGUGGUUGGUGACCAUAACAUGUAGGCAGGCUGUUAUGAAUGAAGGUGGUCCUUUGGUUGACUCAGCCCCAAACUUUUUUAAUGCUUUAAAAAUUAAAAACAGCACUUUAAAUUGGGAUCAGAAAUGCACAGGCAGCCAGUUCAGCUGUUGCCAUGUGUCACCUGAAUUGACCACCUGGCUUCCACCAGAACUUGAGUAGUUACAUUUUGCAGUAGCUGAAGUUUCUGAACUCUCUGCAAAUGCAAUCCUACAAACAACACAGAUGCAACUAGUACACAUAUCUAGAUGGGCUGCUGUGCCAACAGCUACCCUUAGCUGGCAAAGAGCAUACCUACCCACCUCAGCCACCUAAGCUUCCCUAUUUAGUGCCUAUUUAGUGUGGACUUUGCUCUUAAAAGGGAGUGCAGCCCCAUCUAAGCUCAGUUGUAAAUCUCCUUCCAAAAUAGUCUAUUUCCCUAUCUGUCGUACCUCCAUGUUUUCUAGACUCAGUAUCAUUGCCAUGGGCUGACAUCAUAAAGUAGGACUUUUUAUCAAAGUGUCCUCCCAUUCCUUGCUGUUAACAAUAUUUUGGAUCACAAGAAUGCCUGCCAGGGCAGCUCAUUUCUGCCCUCUGCCAAAGUGGUAGAAGGGCUCCCAGACCCCUUUAGCAGCAGAUACUUUGCUAGCAUGGUCCCACUUACUCAAUUGAGUUUACUUCAGUUUAAGUGAAAUCAUUUGUCAUCAUAGUCUAGAUGAACUGCCCCAAAAUUUCAUCAGCCCAACAAAGGGGCCAAAGUUUUGAUAUAUCAUUUGUGCAUCUCAGUGCAAUGUCUCUUCUCUUAAACUUUUCCUCCCAUCCAAACACAAGAGCUGCUGGUACUGUGCUUCAGUUCUUCUCCAAGUAGCCCUGUUUGUUCACCUAAGCUGUGUAGUGUGUGGAUGAAUGGAACUCAUCUGCAACCAUUCCAGUUAGAGGUAGACAACGUCAUAGGAUGCCUCCAGUGUGCAAAUGUUGCAAUAAUGGAAAGGCAUAGUGGCAUGUGUUUUGUUGCUCUUGCUUGCCAUGCUCGGGAUGGCAUGGGGAUGAGGGACCAGCUCCCUUCUCUUGUGGGGGCCCAAUUAGUGCCAUUGCCUUCCGUUAAGAGUUUGGGUGUAAUCCUUGACGCCUCCCUUUCCAUGGAGGCGCAAGUUACAGCAACAGCCAAGGCGACAUUUUUCCACCUUCGCCGCAUCAAGCAGUUGGUCUCUUACCUUUCCCGCCCUGACCUGGCCACAGUGAUCCAUGCGACGGUCAUCUCCAGGCUUGACUACUGUAAUUCGCUCUACGCGGGGCUGCCCUUGAAGCUGUCCCAGAAACUCCAGCGGGUACAGAAUGCUGCAGCGAGGCUUCUCACGGGGUCUUUGCCAUGGGAGCAUAUUUACCCAGUGCUUUUCAAACUGCACUGGCUCCCGGUGGAGUACAGGGUCAGAUUUAAGGUGCUGCUUUUGACCUUUAAAGCCCUUCACGGCCUAGGACCCUCGUACCUACGGGACCGCCUCUCCUGGUAUGCCCCACGGAGAGCCUCAAGGUCCAUAAAUAACAACACCCUAGUGGUCCCAGGCCCUAAGGAAGUUAGAUUGGCUUCAACCAGAGCCAGGGCCUUUUCAACUCUGGCUCCGGCCUGGUGGAACGCUCUGCCUCAUGAGACCAGGGCCCUGCAGGAUCUGAUUUCUUUCCGCAGGGCCUGUAAGACAGAGUUGUUCCGCCUGGCCUUUGGCUUGGAGCCAAUUUGAUUCCCUCCCUCCCUCUCUUUCUUUUUCUUUUCCUUCUCCUCCUGCAAUGAGGCUACAUUUUAAUAUUUUAAUGUUCCAUUAUUUUAAUGUUGUAUUUUAUUUUUGUUUUUAAGUUGUAAUCAUUCUUCUUGUUUUUAUUAUUGCUUGUAAGCCGCUCUGAGCCCGGCCUUGGCUGGGGAGGGCGGGGUAUAAAUAAAAAAUUAUUAUUAUUAUUAUUACACCUGGAUGAAGGAUUGAGAACAUCCCCAGAAAGCUCCAGUUUGAGAGAACUCUUAUUUCAACUUGCGUAAGAAUGAGAGCAGUUCCCAUUAGCAUCGCCAGGUGCUGCAACUUCCCCUUCAGCCCUCCUUUUAGGCUCCAGUAUUAUCUACAGUCACCUGUCAAUGGGAGUCAGUUCAACAGGCAAAAUGAAACAAAAAUAGCCAGACCUGAUUAAGCUUUGGGGGAGGAGAGAGAGGCUGAGUGGAGACUCAACCCUGGUGAAAAAGGACACAGCAGCAGGAGUAGUUGGAGAAGAAUAAAUACCCAACAUGAAAGAGCCAUUUAAACUCCAGCAGAGCUAGAGUUUAUCAGAUUUCAGCAUUCCAUUUGUACUAUAAACCACAAGCCAGUAACAAUACACAGAGAUGCUAACUGUAUAUGUUUACUUGCUAGUCAGCAGUCUGAUCUUCUAAAUAAUAAAUGUGUUUCCAGAGAUAACUUCUCUCUCUUCCCCCAGUUAGUUCUGGUUCCCAUUAACUGUUACCCAUCUGUCCAAGAUCCCAUCCAGUGAGCACAGCAGUGGGAGCUAAGUGAAAAAUAUUCAAGAGACAUGCAUCAUUUUUCAAGAUACUAACUGAAUUUUCCAAAACUAUCAACAAUAAACAGAUCUCCCUCAUUUUGUAUCUGUGUGUGAUGACUACCAAUCAACCUCAUACCUUGCCAGUGUAAUGCAGAUAAGGCACCUUACCUUUGUAGACAGGGAUAUGUAUCAAGGGAUGUUAAUUUGAGUUCGAUGCAUUAGCCUACUCUUAGAGGAGUUUCUGAAAGAAAUCAUAGCCCAUAAACCAAUGUGCUGAGGAAAGGCCACAAUCUAAAUGCAGGUCAUUCAGUUUUAGAAGAUUUUUUUAAAAAAAAUGUUUUAAAAUUGAAACACCUUUUGAAUGUAUUUCCUUUUGAAAGACUUCAUCGGAAUUUAAAAAAUGGUUCUGUGGAAUUCCAGUAAAAUAUGUCUCUGAAGGAUUUUGUAGUGUUUUGAAAUAUUCUUGAGAUCUUCUGUGACUUUCCUCCCCCCCCCUUCCAAAUGUACAUCUUCACUUAGUAUAUAUAACUAGCAGUGUCUCACAAUACUAGGAAAUGAGAAGAAGCAUGAGUCAGCUGUUCUUUCUCUUUUUGGACUUCUUAUGUCACUUGCAAAUGGGGACCUUUUCCCUCAGUUCUCUCAGAGUGAGAAGAAUGAGCUGGGAAUCAGGUAUCUCACCAGAAGAGAUUGCAAAUUUUCUCUUGAUACAUUACAUCAGAAGUGCAAAAAAGAAAGUGCACUCAUUCUUCCUCCUAAAGCAUGGGUAGGCAAACUAAGGCCCAGGGGCUGGAUCUGGCCCAAUUGCCUUCUAAAUCCAGCCCACAGAUGGUCUGGGAAUCAACGUGUUUUUACAUGAGUAGAAUGUGUUGUUUUAUUUAAAAUGCAUCUCUGGGUUAUUUAUGGGGCAUAGGAAUACAUUCAUUCCCCCCCACCAAAAAAUAUAGUCUGGCCCCCCACAAGGUCUGAUGGACAGUGGACUGGCCCCCUGCUGAAAAAAGUUUUCUGACCCCUGUCCUAAAGCCAUCCUGGGAACCAAAAGCAGUGUUUCCAGACAAAUUGAGGAUACAAAUGAAUUCCAGAACCCUGUGUAAUCAUUUAUGCAUCUGUAAGCCAGGGAUGGUGAACAAGUGACCCCCUAGCAAUUGUUGAACUUCAGUCACAGCCAGCAUGGCUGAUGGUCAGAGAUGACGGGAGAGGUAGUUCAACAACCUCUGGAGGGCCACAGCUUCCACAGCCCUGCUGUAAACAAUUUUCAGAUCUGGUGACCAUCUUGAAGGGAUUUCAUAAGGAAUCAAUGUAGAGAGCUCCCUCCAUAACAUUUCAAGGCUCUGUGGUACAUCUGUAUCCUUACCUCAGAUGCAGGCAGGGAGAGAAUCUGCUUAGAUGCUGUGUUCAGCUCCUAUUAGCAACAAACACAGCAUCAGGAAAAUUUGAAGAACAUAACGCAAUUCAUCUCAUCUAGUCAUUUGAGACUGCCAUUGUUUUUCAACAUAUGGAAUCAAUCAGGUCACGUAACUGAAACACAGUUUGUUUUCAAUGUGGUUAAUGCUUAGGUGUCUGUGUUUGUCUAUUGUUUUUGACCAGAAUUUCUCUUUUAUGUUGUCUGUGUUUUGCCUUCUUGUCUGUGUAUUUCCCCCCUUCACAGAUGAAACCUGAUGAGGGUCUGAGUCUGAAAAAUACAUUUAUACCAAUAAACAAGCAGAAGUGUGGACACUUUAAACCUUCCAUAUCUUUUGUUUUGUCUUGUUACAAGGCAUGUGGUGCUUCAGAGAAGUCAGUAACAUUUUUAAACCAACUUUUCAUAUGGUUGUUUUUUUAAAACCAUGUUGUUGGCCAAAAAUGGACGCUUUUUUAAUAGGACACUAUAAAAUUGGGGAGGGGGAGAUACCAAAAUACACUUGACAACUUGUUCAUAAGUAAAAAGGGAACUUUGGUACCUGACAGUUUUAAUUCUCCAAAAUUUAGUACCAUUUCUGAAAAGUAAAAAUAGUUGGCGUUUCAAAAUUUGCUGUCAACAUUCUGCUUAGAUAAUGUCCCAGUGAUCUUGGAACAAGAUAUUGGAAGGUUUACAGGGACCGUACUUUGCACAAACAGUUUCUGAAAUGGUGCUUUUGUUUUGAAAUGUUCAAAACACUUUCUAGAUUUAUUGUGAGCAUGAUAUAGGUCUUGUCCACAAGCUUUCAUUGUGCCUGACAGCAGGAUGGGGGUUAUUUACAGCCAAGUAUGUUCAGACAGCACUGGCAGCCGAAUCCACCGAGCAGCUCCUACCAAGCCUUGUUAAAAUGGAUGGGGGCCCUGACGAUGCCAUGCUCGGUGGAUUCCUUUCCAGUGUUGUGCUACAAGGAAUCUAUAUUCUCAUUUGAUGUUUCGUUCUGUAACUGCACUAAUAUCAAAAAUAAUAAUAGAGAGGACCCAAAUCUUGUGGAAUUAAUCUGGUGGGAUUUCUAAUAAUGAUCCAGUUGAGUACCGUAAGGAAGAUUUGAGGUGGCAUGAGAAAGGGCUUCUAUUUAAUUUGUCCCAUUCCUGGAACUGAAUUGCUGCAGCAGUCUGGUAAGACUGUUGGACUGCAUAGCCUACAUGUACCCACUCAACACUACCCUAAACAUUUUCUCAUCCUCUUCCUCCUCCUUUAUACUUGACACACUGGAGUUCUGUAUUAUAUUUUUUUUUAAGAUGGUUGUCUGGUUUUUGUUGUUUUUACAAGUGUUGUGGGGGGGAAUGUAAGAAAGCUGAAGUAUUUAAAAAAAUGUUCCAAGGGGGAAAAAGGUUUUUGUUAUUCUAAUAUAUUAUUGUGUACCUAUUGUAAAUAUGAAACACUCCUAUUUUGCAAUCCAAGGACUCACUUUGUACUGUUGUUAUAUAUAAAUAAAGUUUACUGGAU